rnacentral:rRNA from 1 species
GGUCAAGUGAAGAAGCGCAUACGGUGGAUGCCUUGGCAGUCAGAGGCGAUGAAAGACGUGGUAGCCUGCGAUAAGCUUCGGGGAGUCGGCAAACAGACUUUGAUCCGGAGAUCUCUGAAUGGGGGAACCCACCUGGCAUAAGUCAGGUAUCUUGUACUGAAUACAUAGGUGCAAGAGGCGAACCAGGGGAACUGAAACAUCUAAGUACCCUGAGGAAAAGAAAUCAACCGAGAUUCCCUUAGUAGUGGCGAGCGAACGGGGACUAGCCCUUAAGUGGCUUUGAGAUUAGCGGAACGCUCUGGAAAGUGCGGCCAUAGUGGGUGAUAGCCCUGUACGCGAAAAUCUCUUAGUCAUGAAAUCGAGUAGGACGGAGCACGAGAAACUUUGUCUGAAUAUGGGGGGACCAUCCUCCAAGGCUAAAUACUACUGACUGACCGAUAGUGAACCAGUACCGUGAGGGAAAGGCGAAAAGAACCCCGGAGAGGGGAGUGAAAUAGAUCCUGAAACCGUAUGCGUACAAGCAGUGGGAGCCUACUUUGUUAGGUGACUGCGUACCUUUUGUAUAAUGGGUCAGCGACUUAUAUUCAGUGGCGAGCUUAACCGAAUAGGGGAGGCGUAGCGAAAGCGAGUGUUAAUAGCGCGUUUAGUCGCUGGGUAUAGACCCGAAACCGGGCGAUCUAUCCAUGGGCAGGUUGAAGGUUAGGUAACACUGACUGGAGGACCGAACCGACUACCGUUGAAAAGUUAGCGGAUGACCUGUGGAUCGGAGUGAAAGGCUAAUCAAGCUCGGAGAUAGCUGGUUCUCCUCGAAAGCUAUUUAGGUAGCGCCUCAUGUAUCACUGUAGGGGGUAGAGCACUGUUUCGGCUAGGGGGUCAUCCCGACUUACCAAACCGAUGCAAACUCCGAAUACCUACAAGUGCCGAGCAUGGGAGACACACGGCGGGUGCUAACGUCCGUCGUGAAAAGGGAAACAACCCAGACCGUCAGCUAAGGUCCCAAAGUUAUGGUUAAGUGGGAAACGAUGUGGGAAGGCUUAGACAGCUAGGAGGUUGGCUUAGAAGCAGCCACCCUUUAAAGAAAGCGUAAUAGCUCACUAGUCGAGUCGGCCUGCGCGGAAGAUGUAACGGGGCUCAAACCAUACACCGAAGCUACGGGUAUCACUUAGGUGAUGCGGUAGAGGAGCGUUCUGUAAGCCUGUGAAGGUGAGUUGAGAAGCUUGCUGGAGGUAUCAGAAGUGCGAAUGCUGACAUGAGUAACGACAAUGGGAGUGAAAAACUCCCACGCCGAAAGACCAAGGUUUCCUGCGCAACGUUAAUCGACGCAGGGUUAGUCGGUCCCUAAGGCGAGGCUGAAAAGCGUAGUCGAUGGAAAACAGGUUAAUAUUCCUGUACUUCUGGUUAUUGCGAUGGAGGGACGGAGAAGGCUAGGCCAGCUUGGCGUUGGUUGUCCAAGUUUAAGGUGGUAGGCUGAGAUCUUAGGUAAAUCCGGGAUCUUAAGGCCGAGAGCUGAUGACGAGUUGCCAUUAGGCGACGAAGUGGUUGAUGCCAUGCUUCCAAGAAAAGCUUCUAAGCUUCAGGUAACCAGGAACCGUACCCCAAACCGACACAGGUGGUUGGGUAGAGAAUACCAAGGCGCUUGAGAGAACUCGGGUGAAGGAACUAGGCAAAAUGGCACCGUAACUUCGGGAGAAGGUGCGCCGGUGAGGGUGAAGGACUUGCUCCGUAAGCUCAUGCCGGUCGAAGAUACCAGGCCGCUGCGACUGUUUAUUAAAAACACAGCACUCUGCAAACACGAAAGUGGACGUAUAGGGUGUGACGCCUGCCCGGUGCCGGAAGGUUAAUUGAUGGGGUUAGCUAACGCGAAGCUCUUGAUCGAAGCCCCGGUAAACGGCGGCCGUAACUAUAACGGUCCUAAGGUAGCGAAAUUCCUUGUCGGGUAAGUUCCGACCUGCACGAAUGGCGUAACGAUGGCGGCGCUGUCUCCACCCGAGACUCAGUGAAAUUGAAAUCGCUGUGAAGAUGCAGUGUAUCCGCGGCUAGACGGAAAGACCCCGUGAACCUUUACUAUAGCUUUGCACUGGACUUUGAAUUUGCUUGUGUAGGAUAGGUGGGAGGCUUUGAAGCGUGAACGCCAGUUUGCGUGGAGCCAAUCUUGAAAUACCACCCUGGCAACUUUGAGGUUCUAACUCAGGUCCGUUAUCCGGAUCGAGGACAGUGUAUGGUGGGUAGUUUGACUGGGGCGGUCUCCUCCUAAAGAGUAACGGAGGAGUACGAAGGUGCGCUCAGACCGGUCGGAAAUCGGUCGUAGAGUAUAAAGGCAAAAGCGCGCUUGACUGCGAGACAGACACGUCGAGCAGGUACGAAAGUAGGUCUUAGUGAUCCGGUGGUUCUGUAUGGAAGGGCCAUCGCUCAACGGAUAAAAGGUACUCCGGGGAUAACAGGCUGAUACCGCCCAAGAGUUCAUAUCGACGGCGGUGUUUGGCACCUCGAUGUCGGCUCAUCACAUCCUGGGGCUGAAGCCGGUCCCAAGGGUAUGGCUGUUCGCCAUUUAAAGUGGUACGCGAGCUGGGUUUAGAACGUCGUGAGACAGUUCGGUCCCUAUCUGCCGUGGACGUUUGAGAUUUGAGAGGGGCUGCUCCUAGUACGAGAGGACCGGAGUGGACGAACCUCUGGUGUUCCGGUUGUCACGCCAGUGGCAUUGCCGGGUAGCUAUGUUCGGAAGAGAUAACCGCUGAAAGCAUCUAAGCGGGAAACUUGCCUCAAGAUGAGAUCUCACUGGAGCCUUGAGCUCCCUGAAGGGCCGUCGAAGACUACGACGUUGAUAGGUUGGGUGUGUAAGCGCUGUGAGGCGUUGAGCUAACCAAUACUAAUUGCCCGUGAGGCUUGACCAU